UAAUUCACUUCUAAUUGCUUCACUAUUUUGCCUCUUCUUUGGUUAAGAUUAAGCUUCUCACCGGCUGUGUACCAUUGGAUAGGCUUUAAGGCUAUCUUCAAUCACUAACUAUUUUCCAACACCUUGUGUACCUAAAUUUAAUUUAAUUUAAAAUAUGCGGUUAAAGAGUCUAUUAUGAUUCUUAAUCACUAUCACAAUCAACACAAUCAACCUUGUAUAUUUCCUUGUUUGUUGUUAACCUUGUUAACAGUGACAACCUUAUUUCCAACGUUAUGUUGGUCUACCAAAGAAAAUAUUUCCUCUUCUUCCAAUAUAAACAUUCCUAGUGACUUAACAACCCUUAAAAUUGACCGUCGAGAGGACAUCGAUGUUACAACAACGGAAGAUGGCCUUAGUUCAUUAGAAUCACUAGACUCCAAACCAAUUACAGAAGCUGCCGAGUCGAGUGGUCUUCAUGAGAUUAAUAACCCUUCCGAAGGAUCAUCAAACAGCCGUAAGGUUGAAGACAAGAAGACUGCCUCACAGCUAACGCCAUCUUCAUCAUUAGCUUACCCAUUAGCUUCAUCAACCUACUCAUCAAGUCUCCUAUCCACAGUAUCUUCAUCCAGUUUAUCGUCAGUGACCAAUUCACCAAUAGUGGUUCCAUCUAAAUCAACUAACAAUGAGACAACAUCGACAACUAAACCUUUGGUUGAGAGUCCACCACAAACACGUGCAAAACCAGCUGAGUUCAAUGAAACCAUUACCGAGGUAGCUUCUCGUCGUGAUGAGACACACAAACGAAAGGUGAAUGGUAACCCUUCUGUCGAUGACAUUAUUGGAAGUAUAAUUCAAUUGAUUGGAGGAAAUGUGAAACUCAGCCGUCCACCAAUAACACCAAGGCCUGGGCUACAAAACCAUGGAGGACCUCCUGGUCGUCCAAUGUUGAUGCCGUAUCCACCUCAUCCUCCUCCUCCACCACCACCGCCACCACCUCCUCCUUCACAAUCAGGGUCUAAUCAAGGCCAGUUGGGAUCAGCAAAUAAUCCUUCACGAAUUAAUAAUCGUGGUCCUCCUAAGGUUGCCUUCAUUAAUGGUCCAAAUGGAUCACCUUUCCCUUCAAAUAUGAUUAUUGGACCUGGUCAACAGGCAGGUCUACCUAUUCCUAUCCCGACCAAUUUUAAUCAACCUCAAUCUCAACCUCACCCAGUACCUCAACAAAACCCAAGACCACCUGAACAUAUUCCUUCUGGUCGACCCAACAGAGAACCAGAGGAAACUGAAGCUAAACCCAAUGAGAUAAAUUACAACACUCGAAAACAAGUCAUUAGUGAAGGCAGUGAUCUUAAUGCCAUUGGAUCUGUACCUGAAGGUAAUAAGCAAAAUCAACAUCAUCCAUUCCAUCAUCAUCAAAAUCAACGAUUCAAGGGACCAUCAAUGUUAAAUCAAGGCGAAAAUUUUGAGUCAACAAAUCGUGUACCUCAACCACCUGUGAUCACGUUAGAACCAUCUCAAUCAGUUUCUAUAACAUCAACAGUGAAUACUGUGACAGCUACAGCUAUUAAACCAUUGGCUGAUGCUAACAGAAAUCAAAAUAAUUUUGAGCUAAACGAAGGUUUACAUUCAAUUAAUCGAACUGCAACCCUAGAAGCAUCGAUUAAACCGUUAAAUGUUUGGGAUACAAGUGAAUCGUCAAAAGGAUCAUCAUCUUCAAGCGUCAGUUCUAGUAGUAUUAGUGAAACACCCUCACUUGGAUCAUCAGUUGGUUCAAAUAUAUUUAACAGUGCCUUAGUUCCUAGUGGACCUGUGACUGCAUGGUUACCCUUUUUUGUUCAACCGAGUGUUUCAUCAUCCAAAGUUACUUGGUCUGAUGAGCCUCCUCCCAUUAUCACAAAACCUGAAGAACCGUCAGUGUUUGAUAUAACAGUAAAACACAAGAUUGGUCCAAAUUCAGCCCGUGUUCAAGAAGUACCCAAAAUUGUUCCCACUCGACCAAUUGAAUCAUCUAUUAUUGUUCCUACAAUCAGUACUAAUCAAUUAGAAUCAUCUUCAUCAACAUCAUCAAGGCCAAUAGAAAGCUCAUCUUUAGAAACAACAAACUCUGAUUUACCGUCUUCUGCAUCAGAAGAUAAAACUAUCGACUUAACAAUAUCACCAUCAUCAUCGUCUGCACACUCUUCUGAAGUCACAAAAACAGCUGAACUAGGAAGAUCAUCAACCAAUUCAACCCGUCUUUUGUUUCCAUCUCGCCCAGUAACCAGUGAUCCUGAACCAGACAUUGUCUAUGGUAGACCAGCAAACAAAGACAAUGCCGCAGCCAAUCGAGGAUCAUCUCCUCACAAACCAACCCACCAUCUUGGUUAUCCACCAUCAGGAAAACCUGCUGCCAAUCCAUAUAAUCGUAUACCAGUAACCACCAAGGAACUACCUAGACCAUUAAUACCUACAUCAGUGAGUAAAACUUCAAGUUCAACUGCUUUACUUGGACGGCCAAUUGUGAUUCCAGUUGAUGUAGAUGAGGUUCGCCCAAAUAUUGGAGGAAAUGGUGGAGGCGGAAGUGGAGGAACCCCCGAUGUUCUCACAGAACCAGGUCAGGGAUCAGUAUUUAUUGAUGGGAAACCAACUUACUUCAAGAUAAGACCAGGACCACCAAAACCCGCUGGUCCCACAUUGCAAGUUGGUUCCGGAGUAACCAUCAAUGUUGAUAAUCCUCCUGGACCAGUAGGUGGUGCCGGUGGUAAACCUUUACCUCCCUCACCACAAUCUCAAGUUCCUGUUGCUGGCCUUCCAGGUAAUCCUAGUACCAUUUCAGGUACUGGAUCACGAUCAGGGUCAUCAUCAUCCUCUGUUGUUCGUCGACCUCCCUUCAGACCUCGUCCAAACACACCUCUAGUGCGCAUUGAUACAUGCAUAGUGGGUGAUGAUUCUACCUGCGGUGCUAAUUUAAAUGAACACUGUAAAACGGAAGUAGGCAUCUCAUCGUGCCAAUGUAAACCAGGUUAUGGUCGAACCACGGCUCGAGGAAUGUGUACUCCAGUUGCCUCAUUGGGGGUCUUCCUGAGGUUGGAUAAACUGGGUGAAUCAAAAGUAGUCUUUAACCGUAAAUUAAUGGAUCCUGAUACAGAAGAAUUUCAAUAUUUGGAAUAUGAAGCUCUUCAAGCGCUCAAUUCGCUCUUCACUACUUCCCGUUUGGGUAAAGUAUUCAAAGGUGUUCGAGUUAAUAAAUUUUACUCGAUGGGAGGUAAAACAGUUGCCAAUGCAACAGUUGAACUUGACCGUACCAAUGUAACCAGAUCAGCUACCAUUAAAAAGAUUGUCCAACAAGAAUUGGUUCGAGUUAUUGCUACCAAUAAUAAUCGUCUUGGAGAUUCCCAGUUAUAUGUAGAUGCUUCUUUACAUGCAAUUCCUAAAGUCGAUGACAUCAAUGAAUGUGCCAACAGUGAGCUUAACGAUUGUUCAAAGUUUGCUGUUUGUACCAAUGAAUUUGGUAGCUACCGCUGUACCUGUAAACCUGGUUAUGAAGAUAAAUUUUCAGCUGAUCCAGUUAAAUCAGGUCGACAUUGUGCUACUUGUUCACCAGCCUAUUGUUCAAAUCGAGGUGAUUGUGUGGUAAUCAAUGGGGAAAAAGAGUGCAGAUGUCGAGGUAAUUUUAUUGGUUCACGUUGUGAUAUCGAUGGUGAAGUUCUUGGUGUUGCUCUUGGAGGUUCAGUUGCAGCUUUGGUAAUCAUUAUCAUCACCUUCCUAUGUCUAUACAUGUGGAAUCAAAGAUGGAAACGAGAGCAACAAAAGAUGGAAGCCAUGUCUUCAGGGAGUGGACAAACCUUCAGCUAUGUAAAUAAAACUCAAGCCGCUGCUAAUUACCGAUGCAACUUAGAUGAUCGAGCUCGUUGGGCUACAAUGACUCAAACUCUUCCUGUCAAUCCUAAUUAUAAUUAUUAUGUUAAUCCUGAGCAAUUAAUGGCAACUAGUCAACAUGUUUAUGCAACGCCUGGACGAGCUCAAACACCUGAAGCAUUGAUUAAUGAUGAUACUUGUCCAGUUGAUUCUCGCCAUUAUCCCAGGCCAAUCAGAUCAAAAUCGCGUGCUUCUUUAGCUCCAGGACCUUACUCUACAAUGAUGAUGGUGCAGGUUAGUUGAGUUGAAAUUUCAGAAAAUGAAUUUGUAAUUGUUGUAAAUAUGGUGUUAAUUUGAUGCAAAAAAGCUAAUUUGAUGUUCGGUCAAGAUGCAAACUUGAACUCCCACGGUUUUUGAUGAUUAUUCUGGUUAUAUGCUUGUCCUGUCUUGUCCUUUCUUGUUCAUGCUAAUGACCAUAUGUUUGUAUAUGGAGCUGACGAUGUUAAUCUGGUGCAAAGAUCAGGUUACCAAGUUUCUUGUCCAGUCAACAGUUGGUCCUGUUAAUGGUUGGUUGAAACUUUCAAAUGGAAAAUAAUUUUCUCAAAAAUUACAAUACAAUUACAAUAAUACAUUGGAAAAAGCCUGAUAAUUAUUGCUGCAAUUUAACCCGAAAAGCAAACAGACAAUUGAAGGAUUGAUAAAUUUAAAGAGGAAAUAAUUAAGAUACUUUUGAUUCUUCAUCUUUACCCAACAUUGUGAGACGACAAUUAUAAAAAUACUGGAAUCUUGAAAAGCUGCUCUUGGAAUGCUGAUUGCUCGGAAAACCUCUCAAUGACCCAACUUUCUUCCAUCUCUCUCACCAUCCACAUUCACACUUACACUUUAAUCAAGUUUCCAUUAUUUUACCUUCAAUUAACCGAUCAAUUAACUUGUAACACCCAAGUUGCAAGUUAAUUUAAUAUAAGCAACCAUUAAUAAUGGCUAAAGCUUUCAAAUAAUGCAAUUUAUUGAACCAUUUUAUCCAGUUUGGAGGCGACUUUCAAGAUGACUUAUCCAAUGGACAUUUGACUUGACAAAAAGAGCGGAUCACAGUUGGAUAAAUUGAAAUACAAGAUUGGAAAGAAGUGAAAGGCUCAUCAUCUCAACUCAUCAUUUUCAUGAAUAUAUUGACAGUAGCUUUGGAUUUUGAUCAGCUUCCUCUCUUUACCUGUCUUUGCCUGUUUCACCAACUUGUCUUGUUACCUUCAUCAUUUCGUUAUAUCUGAAGACCUCCAACAUAGCUUGUUUGAUAGACCAACUCACCGAUACACAACCUUGAAGAACAAAAGGCCAACUUAUUCAGCUUUUCAUCUUUCUCUUUCAUCGUCAGCUUCAUCAUCAUCACCAUCCAAUUUUUACCUUUUUUCUUACCUUCAUUUUAGUACCUUAUCACCUUACCUUUGAAGCAAUCAUUCCUUGAUGAGAAAACAUGAAUCAAGAUUCCUUGUUGAUGGAAGGCAAAAAAAACAUAAUAUUGUUAAUCACUAUUGUCCAUAUCAAGGGUUAUGGAGCUGGAAGUGUGUACAAUGAAACUGAAUUUUCAACCCGGGAAACAAUUUACUCUCCAUCACAUGUGAUCAUUCCUCCACGGACUAAAUACUCUCCUU